UGGGGAAUAUUGCACAAUGGGCGCAAGCCUGAUGCAGCGACGCCGCGUGGAGGAUGAAGGUCUUCGGAUUGUAAACUCCUGUUAAGUGGGAAAAAAGACUUCUGGCUAAUAUCCAGAGGGGAUGAUGGUACCACUAGAGAAAGCACCGGCAAACCUCGUGCCAGCAGCCGCGGUAAGACGAGGGGUGCAAGCGUUAUUCGGAAUUACUGGGCGUAAAGAGCGUGAAGACGGUUUUUUAAGUCAACUGUUAAAUCACCCGGCUUAACCGGGUAUCAGCAGUUGAUACUGAACGACUAGAGCUUAGAAGAGAGAAGUGGAAUUCUCGGAGUAGCGGUAAAAUGCGUAGAUCUCGAGAGGAACACCAGUGGUGAAGACGGCUUCUUGGUCUAUAGCUGACGUUCAAGCGCGAAAGCGUGGGGAGCAAACAGG
rnacentral:rRNA from 1 species